rnacentral:rRNA from 1 species
AAACUUUCAACAACGGAUCUCUUGGCUCUCGCAUCGAUGAAGAACGCAGCGAAAUGCGAUAGGUAAUGUGAAUUGCAAAACUCAGUGAAUCAUCGAAUCUUUGAACGCACAUUGCGCCCUGGGGCGUUCCUCAGGGCAUGCCUGUCCGAG